CCUAAUUGAAAAAAGAACCUACGUCCGUCGCCGAUCUCCUAGAAUCGGAGCUCCGGGAAUUAUGGCUAAGUCGUCUACGUAUCUUCUAUAUCGUGGUGGUAACAGAAUGAAAGGAAAGAGGGUAUGAAACUCACCUUGUCGGAGAUUAUGGCUGCGCCGACGAAUUCUCUAUUUCCAGGGAAAUGGAAUCAUCGCUGAUGCUGCAACUCGAGUUAGAUUUCUCAUUGUCGUCGUAUGCAUUGCCGUAACGUGUGAUUCACUUGAUGCUUGCAGGUUAAUGCUGCUAUGAUGUGUUGCCAGGUUGGUUUAGCAGUUGGUGACACAUAUCCUUGUUGUGACCGUUGGUGGUGCAUUAUGUCGUGCCCAAAUCUGAAGUGUUGAGGAUUGCGUGCAAUGUCAUGGCUCGUGGUGAUACGUGUUAAGUCUGCAGGCCAAACCGGUUCGUGACUUUCUACAACAAGGUGCUCAUAAUGGUGAUGGUUACGUGGUCAGGUAUAGGUUUGCAGCAGGUAAGUAACCUAUGCCAACCUGGUUCUACACAAUAGGUUAUGCCCCUGCCUUGAUUUUGUAGCAUUGAUAACAGUGGUUUGCUGAACAUUGCCUACAAGUUUCUCUUUGUCUUGCAUCAGGCCUUUUGAGGUUUGUUUAAUCGCGAAUGAAAUUACGCAGGAGAAACUUGCUGGAUACACGUGAGAUUUCGUUUAUUUUUUUUGUAUGACAUGGUUUGCUACUGCAGUUGUAGCUGCGUUGCCGUGGGCUGGUGUUGUUGGUUUACCGUCAGGCUGAAAAUGCGUUGUGUACUCGUGUUUUUCCACCGUUGAGCUUGUUGUUGUAGCCGCUCUCGGUGAUGGCUUGCCUUUGGUUUAAUAGCAGGCGUGUGUGGUAGCUUGGAUACAUCGGUUUGGCUACUGCGUCUUGAAUUUUAUUGCCUUUCGUAUCAUGUCGUUUCGCUUGUUUUAGUUUUGCGUUUGAUACCGGCUUAUCGCUGUUUAUGCAGGUGUUGCACUUGCGGCUUAGCUUGGAAUUUGAAGCUGCAUUUGCAUUUCCAUUGGAUUUGUUUUGGCUUGUACUUCCAUUUUCACCUUUUGCACAUUGGCCUGUUACAACAUGGAGUUUGGGAUGCGCCAACUGCGGUUCUGUUGCAGCCGAUGGUGACUUGAAGCUUUUGAUUGAGUUCCGUUGUCGGGGUUGCCGUCGAAGCGCUAUGCUGCAGUUAGCAGCUGCUGUUGUUUUCAUUUGGCUUCUGGCUUGGAGUUUCUCGGCUUACGGCGUUGCCGUUUUUCAUGUUGGCUUGUUUGCAUGUUGCUUGUGCUCAUGGCUGUUUUGUCGUUCGUUUGCAACCUACAUUGAUUUGCCUUUUGGUAGCUGCGUUGUGCAGCUUGGUUGGUUUGUGUAGUUGUCGCAGUUGUUAGCUUUUCGUGAAGCUUCGUACGCAUUGCCGCUUGGGACUGUAGCUGCAUUUUGAUCACUCAAGUUUCCAUUGCGUUUUUUGCCGUUGUAUGUUUUGACUUGCAGCUUGUGCGCCGCUAGUGCACGUGCUACUUUGGUAGCAGCUUUCUAUAUUUUUCAAUUUACUCACACUUACUGUAAUGUUACUUUUCAAUGUA